CCUUACUCGCAUAUAGUCUUAAACUACAUAGGUAUAUAGCCUAUAUCCGAGUACGGAGUAACACUCCAAAAACGCUCACGGUGCCGGUGCCCAACUCAUAAGCUCGAAUUGCAGAAGCUCGUUCCAGGUCAAAAUGGCAAACAGCAAUGUACCUUCAAGCAUUGAGGAACAAGAGGUCAAUUUGGACAAUAACAGUAUACCUGCCUCGGAUACAGAAAAGGCUGAAAUGGCCAAAAGCAAUGUUCCUCAUACCGUUGAGAAGCAAGAGAUCAAAAUUGACGACACUAAAGCUGCGUUGGAUAAGGAAAAGAUCAUUGGUACAGCAACAGGUGAGAUGGAAUACAGAGUAGAAUUAUUCAACAGGCUUACCCAUACAUGCUUCAGUAAAUGUGUUGAGAAAAGGUACAAGGAGGGUGAACUCAAUUUAGGAGAAACUAGUUGCAUUGAUCGCUGUGUUUCUAAGUAUUGGCAGGGUCUAGGAUUUAUAAUAAUUGCAAGGGAAGGUUGAAAAGUGAAUUGCUUCUCAAAUGCAUUUUUCAAUGAAACGUACCUAAUUGCUUUUACCAUGUUAAACACCAGUCAAAACACCGGAGAAGGGUUGGGGUGGUGGGGAUUAUGGUACUUGUCCUCUCAUAGUAGCGCUGGUCUCUCUCUAAAGGUGAAUAAUAUAAUUGGUCGGCGGCUUGCAUAUGGUCGGCGUGAUGCGUAAAUUAUGGUAUCUUAGCUCGUUAAUGCUGCUCAAAUUUGAAUCGCUAAUACGUGAUACAUCUCACCGACUCAUUCAGGGGUACAAGGACUUGAAAUUUUUGAAUAUUCGUUCUUGAUUUCCCUUCAUCUCCAGAUUUUUCUGCCUCUCCUGGAGAAGAUUAAUAAUGACAGAUUUGGAUACAUCAUAUUUUGUACAAUGGUAGAGAUUUUGAUAUCUUAUAGUUGAUGUUUUGCAGUUGCCCAAUUUUUUUUUUUGAAGAUAAAUUCAUUUGUAUCUUUUUUGAUUAAUCCCAUUAUAUAUGUGAGUUGUUGGAACCUCAAUUUGUAUUUAUUAAAGAUUUCGAUUUUUUUGGGAAA